CUGGGAGGACAGGCAAUCGCUGCCACAUCCUUGUUAGCAAGGGUGUGGGAGAGGAAAGUCUGGACCUUUUAGGAGAGGAUACCAGUGAAAGACUGGGGGCCGUAAGGCUACGGAAAGUGUAACAGAGAACAUACCGCUAGCUGGCUUCGGCCAGUUUAGAUAGGGUGAAAUGCACGUCUUAUGGGCGCUGCCGUAUUCAGGGAGACCUGAAACGUUAUAAACCCUAUCCAAGGCAAGACUAAUCGGGGCUAUUCUGUUCUCCGCAGAGCCCCAGAAUGUCGCUUGAGGACUUCGGCGACGAAGUCCCUAGACGAAUGAUUGCCUCCUGCAGCUCGGGCAACCGAGUUGUGGAAGACAGAAUCCGGCUUACCGUCCUCCCAGAUUU
rnacentral:RNase_P_RNA from 1 species